rnacentral:tRNA from 1 species
GCUCCGCUAGCUCAAUGGAUAGAGCAGUUCCGUCCUAAGGAAAAGGUUGUCUGUUCGAGUCAGACGCGGAGUACCA